UUCGCCUACGGGGGGCAGCAGUGGGGGAUAUUGCACAAUGGGGGAAACCCUGAUGCAGCGACGCCGCGUGUGGGAAGACGGUCCUCUGGAUUGUAAACCACUGUCCCCAGGGACGAAGAUGACGGUACCUGGGGAGGAAGCUCCGGCUAACUACGUGCCAGCAGCCGCGGUAAUACGUAGGGAGCAAGCGUUGUUCGGAAUGACUGGGCGUAAAGGGUGCGUAGGCGGUUGUACAAGGUAGAAGUGAAAUACCCAGGGCUUAACUCGGGUGCUGCUUCUAAAACUGUAUGACUUGAGUGCAGUAG
rnacentral:rRNA from 1 species